ACCGCGAUAGUUCGGCUGGUAGAACAGCUUCCCGGCAGGUGGAGCGUUACCGGUUCGAUUUCGGCUCGCGGGG
rnacentral:tRNA from 1 species